GGAAUUUUGGGCAAUGGGCGAAAGCCUGACCCAGCAACGCCGCGUGAAGGAUGAAGUAUUUCGGUAUGUAAACUUCGAAAGAAUGGGAAGAAUAAAUGACGGUACCAUUUAUAAGCUCCGGCUAACUACGUGCCAGCAGCCGCGGUAAAACGUAGGGGGCCAGCGUUGCUCGGAAUUACUGGGCGUAAAGGGUCUGGAGGCGGUGCGGUAAGUCCGGAGUGAAAUCUCCAGGCUCAACGUGGAGGCUGCUUCGGAAACUGCCGUGCUCGAGUGUGGGAGAGGCGCGUGGAAUUGCAGGUGUAGCGGUGAAAUGCGUAGAUAUCUGCAGGAACACCAGUGGCGAAAGCGGCGCGCUGGACCACAACUGACGCUGAGAGACGAAAGCUAGGGGAGCAAA
rnacentral:rRNA from 1 species